UUGAACGCUGGCGGCAGGCCUAACACAUGCAAGUCGAGCGGAUGAAGGGAGCUUGCUCCUGGAUUCAGCGGCGGACGGGUGAGUAAUGCCUAGGAAUCUGCCUGGUAGUGGGGGAUAACGUCCGGAAACGGCGCUAAUACCGCAUACGUCCUGAGGGAGAAAGUGGGGGAUCUUCGGACCUCACGCUAUCAGAUGAGCCUAGGUCGGAUUAGCUAGUUGGUGGGGUAAAGGCCUACCAAGGCGACGAUCCGUAACUGGUCUGAGAGGAUGAUCAGUCACACUGGAACUGAGACACGGUCCAGACUCCUACGGGAGGCAGCAGUGGGGAAUAUUGGACAAUGGGCGAAAGCCUGAUCCAGCCAUGCCGCGUGUGUGAAGAAGGUCUUCGGAUUGUAAAGCACUUUAAGUUGGGAGGAAGGGCAGUAAGUUAAUACCUUGCUGUUUUGACGUUACCAACAGAAUAAGCACCGGCUAACUUCGUG
rnacentral:rRNA from 1 species